UACGUAGGGUGCAAGCGUUAAUCGGAGUUACUGGGCGUAAAGCGUGCGCAGGCGGUUAUGCAAGACAGAUGUGAAAUCCCCGGGCUCAACCUGGGAACUGCAUUUGUGACUGCAUGGCUAGAGUGCGGCAGAGGGGGAUGGAAUUCCGCGUGUAGCAGUGAAAUGCGUAGAUAUGCGGAGGAACACCGAUGGCGAAGGCAAUCCCCUGGGCCUGCACUGACGCUCAUGCACGAAAGCGUGGGGAGCAAACAGG
rnacentral:rRNA from 1 species